AAAGUUUCAGAUAUACGAUGUGAAGGCAGGUUUACGUUUGGUGGUAUUAAUCAUCCUCUCCGAACAUAUGAAGAAUAUAUCAAGUGUAUAGAUGAGGAUCAUCAUAAAGAUGGCAAAAGUCCAUUGUCAAUGUUACCUAUAGAUAUGGUUUCACAAGUUCCUUUCGAAUAUAUGCAUCUGGUAUGCUUGGGAGUUAUGAAGAAACUUUUAUCCGCAUGGAUUUGUGGUAAAUAUACACGUUUUUCACACAAAGUUAUCAGCAAGAUUCAUUGCUAUAAUAUCUCAAAGAUUAGAGAAUCUUAAAACAUAUUGUCCAUCAGAAUUUGCAAGACAUCCUAGAGCAAUUCAUGCAUUUACUAAAUACAAGGCAACAGAAUUUCGUCAAUUUCUGCUAUAUACAGGUCCAGUAGUAACGUAUGGUGUUCUGAAUCAACAAGUAUAUACUCAUUUUUUGUUUUUGCAUACUGCCAUAAGAAUAUUGGUAUCCACUUCACCGUCAAAAGCAUAUUUAAACUUUGCUGAACUUGUUCUACAAAAAUUUGUUGCUCGAUGUGAGAAUCUUUAUGGUUCAACAUUCAUUUCAUAUAAUGUGCACGGUCUUCUUCAUCUCACAAAUGAUGUGCGGCAGCUAGGCCCCCUUGAUUCAUUUUCUGCUUUCCCAUAUGAAAAUAAUAUGUCAAUUUUCAGAAAAUACUGUAGAAAACCUAACUUUCCUCUUCAACAGUUUUCCAAUAGGAUGGCAGAGAUGGAAGCUCGUGAAACAAAUUUACAUCGUACCCAAAUUCAUUUUUCCAAACUCAUUGAUUUUUCUACGCAAGUAUGUGCAGCGUAUAAUGGAGGUCCUCUUCCGCCUAAUGUUAAUCCCAGCAGCUGUCAGUAUCGUAAAUUGGUAUUCAAUGGAGUUUUGUUCAGUUUGGAUAUACGAAAUAAUUGCUGUAUUUUACACGAUGGAUCGAUUUGCCUCAUUGUCAAUAUCUUCAUGAACAAGCCAUAUAUUAUUUGGUUGUAAAGAAAUUUCAAAAGGUAGAUUCAUUCUACGAUGUUGGUAUUUCGUCUUCAGAAAUUCAAAUAUAUAAAUGUUGCGCAUUAAGUAGUGAGAUUUUUUGUAUCCAAGUAAAUCAAGUACGCAUCAAAUGUUAUAAAAUGCCUUAUUGGGGUAGUUCAUCAAUAGUAGUAGUGAUGAAGAUGAGCCAGAAGUUAGCGAGUAUGUAGUUGCUGCAAUUAUACAUACAGAUGAUCUAUAAAAUAAUAAUACUGCAUUUAGCUGUUCUCUUAGAUAUAAUAUGCAGGAAGGAAAAUAGAAUCCACACGCACAGGAUGAUUAAUAAAAUACAGAUGCUCUCUACAUUUCUGCGUUUGACAAAACAGGAAUUAUUUUUAAAACAUAAAAAUAUAUAU